UCAGUAUAUAAAUUUACAGGCAAACACAAGAAAAAUAUUGGAAAAGUAGAUAUCAGCAAGUUUUCACAGAAAGCUUUGAGAAAUGUUAUUAAUUGUCAUCUUCCAUGAGUUAGGUCAAAAUUGAACAAAUGAGGUGAGUUUGGUUCUUUGGAAAAGGUGAAAACUGCCACUGAACUCUUCUGUCAGGAGUAUUAAAAGAAGUGCCAAUCCUAAUCCUGUAAUCCUGACUACUUGGGAGACUGAAGCAGGAAGAUUGUUGAGUUCAAGUCUGAGCUGGGCAACAUGGCAAGACCUUGUCUGGGGGGAGGAGGGGUGUAAAAAGUAGUUUCUAUGAAGAUGGUUAGCCUAUCAAGGUGAUUGAGUAAUUCUUCAGAACUCAGUGAACUUAUGAAUGAAGUACGUGAGAUGAGAUAUACACAAAAUAGAUUAAGGA
rnacentral:lncRNA from 1 species